UACGUAGGGGGCAAGCGUUAUCCGGAUUUAUUGGGUGUAAAGGGUGCGUAGACGGGAAGGCAAGUUGGUUGUGAAAUCCCUCGGCUUAACUGAGGAACUGCAACCAAAACUAUCUUUCUUGAGUGCUGGAGAGGAAAGUGGAAUUCCUAGUGUAGCGGUGAAAUGCGUAGAUAUUAGGAGGAACACCAGUGGCGAAGGCGACUUUCUGGACAGUAACUGACGUUGAGGCACGAAAGUGUGGGGAGCAAACAGG
rnacentral:rRNA from 1 species